AAUGCAGUUCCCAUCAAGGGAUUUGCAAUUGGAAUGAGUACAAGUUAAAUCUCUUAACGAUUAACAAUUAGAGGGCAAGUCUGGUGCCAGCAGCCGCGGUAAUUCCAGCUCUAAUAGCGUAUACUAAAGUUGUUGCAGUUAAAAAGCUCGUAGUUGGAUUUCGGAACAGGGAGACGUUGGUCGGGCGUAUGCUCUGUACCAGCUCUCCCGUUCUCCCUAUGGGAUACUCACCUCUACCCUUAAUUGGGCGGAGGUAAAAGCGCAUGCCCCCCCGCGGCGAUCUUAGCGGGGGCAACUCUGCUAUGAUCCGUCAGGAGGGGUGUGUGGAGUUCCCAUUCGUUUACUUUGAAAAAAUUAGGGUGUUCAAAGCAGGCAAAAAAGAGCCUUGAAUACUACAGCAUGGGAUAACGGAAAACGAUUUUGGUUCUUUGUUUCGUUGGUUUCUGGAGCCGAAGUAAUGAUUAAAAGGGAUAGUUGGGGGCAUUAGUAUUUAAUUGUCAGAGGUGAAAUUCUUGGAUUUAUGAAAGACUAACUUCUGCGAAAGCAUUUGCCAAGGAUGUUUUCAUUAAUCAAGAACGAAAGUUAGGGGAUCGAAGACGAUCAGAUACCGUCGUAGUCUUAACCAUAAACUAUGCCGACCAGCGAUUGGGAGACGUUAUAUGUAUGACUCCCCCAGCAGCUUGCGAGAAAUCACAAGUCUUUGGGUUCUGGGGGGAUAUGGUCGCAAGGCUGAAACUUAAAGGAAUUGACGGAAGGGCACCACCAGGAGUGGAGCCUGCGGCUUAAUUUGACCCAACACGGGGAAACUUACCAGGUCCAGACAUAGUAAGGAUUGACAGAUUUGAGAGCUCUUUCUUGAUUCUAUGGGUGGUGGUGCAUGGCCGUUCUUAGUUGGUGGAGUGAUUUGUCUGGUUAAUUCCGUUAACGAACGAGACCUUAACCUGCUAAAUAGUAACCGGAAGACUUCUAAAAAAACACGUCGGUGGCUAGGGUGAAGUUUCGAUGGAGCCUGACCCAUCGGUGUGUGGAUGACUUCCGGGAAUACUUCUUAGAGGGACUAUUUGUAUUAAAGCAAAUGGAAGUUUGAGGCAAUAACAGGUCUGUGAUGCCCUUAGAUGUCUUGGGCCGCACGCGCGCUACACUGAUAAGUUCAACGAGUUGUUCCACCUUGUUCGAUAGAACCGGGUAAUCUUCGAAAAACUUAUCGUGAUGGGGAUAGAUCAUUGUAAUUAUUGGUCUUCAACGAGGAAUUCCUAGUAAGCGUGAGUCAUCAGCUCGCGUUGAUUACGUCCCUGCCCUUUAUACACACCGCCCGUCGCUCCUACCGAUUGAAUGAUCCGGUGAAUUGUUCGGAGUGUGGCUCGUGCUAGCGGGGCAACUCGUUAGCAAGGCCGCGCAAAGUUCAAUAAACCUUAUCAUUUAGA
rnacentral:rRNA from 1 species